rnacentral:rRNA from 1 species
GGUAGUACGAUCGCAAGAUUAAAACUCAAAGGAAUAGACGGGGGCUCGCACAAGCGGUGGAUCAUGUGGCUUAAUUCGUAGCUAAGCGAAGAACCUUACCAAGGCUAGAAAUCUUACUGCACGCCCCGGGAAACCGGGGAAGCCUUCGAGGGUGUAAGACAGGUGAUGCAUGGCCGUCGUCAGUUCGUGGCUUGAGCUGUUCCCUUAAGUGGGGAAACGAACGCAACCCUCGUUGCCUGUUAUAAGUGUCAGGCGAGACUGCUCCCUCACGGGAGAGGAAGGUGAGGAUGACGCCAGGUCAGCAUGUCCCUUGAUGCCUUGGGCUGCACACGUGAUACAAUGGGUGGUACAACGGGACGCAAUACGGUAACGUGGAGCAAAUCCUUAUAAAACCAUCCUCAGUUCGGAUUGGGGUCUGCAACUCGACCCCAUGAAGUCGGAAUCGCUAGUAAUCGUGAAUCAGCAACGUCACGGUGAAUACGUUCCCGAGCCUUGUACUCACCGCCCGUCAAGUCAGGGGAGUCGGGAGUGCCCGAAGUGCCAGUUUAUCUGGUCCUACGGUAAGCUCGAUAACAAGGACUAAGUCGUAACAAGGUAACC